GCCAACAAAACUCCCACCGCCACGAUCUCCCGGCAGCACCGUCAUCUCAAACAUCGCAACCAACACCACCUCCCCACCAACACGUACAAAGCCAACUCCCCACAAAAGCCAUCACCGUAAUGUCGUCACCACUUCACCAUCUCUGCCACCACCACAAUCAUCGUUUCCAACCAACACCUUGUCACGACCAGCCUAGUAAUCUCAAACACCGCAAAUAGCAUCGCCUCACCAUCUUCCACCCCCAUCGCGGCCAUCAGAUCUUCCCCCUCGCCGCCACCAAUCCAGAUGCUACACUUCCAAAGUAGCUUCCAACUCUCAUUUCACCAUCAUUGCUACCCGUCAACCACAAUAGUCGCUGUCAGUUCACCACCAGAUCCGCCACAUUCAAAACCAAACUAGAUUCGACGUAACACUCGAGUUGCGAUUGUAGCGGCCGCCAUCACAUUGUCACCACCGCUGCAACGCGGGAUCUGAAACUACUACAGCAUCGUCGGAGAAUGACAUCACAACCACCAUCCAACAAAAAGUAAAAAUUCAACACUCCACCACCACAUAAAAUCACCGCCACUACCACCUCCAUCUCCACCGCAUCACAACCAUCAUCCAUCCAAAAAAAAAAAAAAACCCCAAACCUAUUAGCUCCAUCGCCGUCGGCACCACCAGAUCUACACAAGCAAAAUCAGUCACG
rnacentral:lncRNA from 1 species